UGUGAAUCCCAGAGGACGCUGUGUGAACUGGGUCUAUGAAAUCGGCACUGACAGCAGCCAGCCUUCCAGGGGAUGGGGGAGGGAAGAAACAGCAGAUAUUUUCCCAAGGUUCAGCUUUAUAAUUUUCUUGGAAAUUUCCGAGCAGCCAAUCAGCUAGCUUCUAAAUAGUGUGGGUCUCUCCUGGACACUGCAGGCAAAAGUUCCUCUAUCUGCUCCUCUUUUUGUCCUUUCUUGGAGCUCAGUGCUCAUGUUCACUGUUCAAGAAAUGGGCCAAUCAUACUCCCAACUAGGGAUAAUGUGCAUCAUACAUACUUGGAAUACAGUGUGGUAUCAUUAUUCCAUUUUACAGAUGAAGAAAAUGAGGCUCCCCAAAGUUAUGAGUUUCAGGGGCAGAGUUUCUCCUCACCUCACUCUAGGCCAGAGUGAUCUCCUUACAGAAUCUGUGAUUUUCAGGCUGGAUCACAGAACUGUUGGGUUCUGUGGGCCAGUGAGAGAAACUGGGGGAUAUCAAGCAGGCAGGCAGGGUCUCCAGCCUGACCAGCCAGGUGCCUGCUACAAAGCAACACUUGAUGAAUAGCUGUUGAAUGGAUGUAUGAAUGAAUAAAUGUGUCAAUAAAUGCUUCAGAGGCCCCUUUUAUCCAUA
rnacentral:lncRNA from 1 species